ACUGACUUUGAGUCUCUCCUCAGGGUGCCGUGGGCAAAGCUGGGGACCCAGGAAGAGACGUAAGUGAGGGGAGAUG
ensembl:miRNA MIR711 microRNA 711